rnacentral:rRNA from 1 species
UACGGAAGGCAGCAGGGGGAAUAUUGCACAAUGGGCGAAAGCCUGAUGCAGCUAUGCCGCGUGUAUGAAGAAGGCCUUAGGGUUGUAAAGUACUUUCAUCGGGGAGGAAAAAACAAAACUAAUAAUUUUAUUUCUUGACGUUACCCGAAAAAGAAGCACCGGCUAACUCCGUGCCAGCAGCCGCGGUAAUACGGAGGGUGCUAGCGUUAAUCAGAAUUACUGGGCGUAAAGAGCACGUAGGUGGUUUUUUUAAAGUCAGAUGUGAAAUCCCUGGGCUUAACCUAGGAACUGCAUUUGAAACUGAAAUACUAGAGUAUCGUAGAGGGAGGUAGAAUUCUAGGUGUAGCGGUGAAAUGCGUAGAUAUCUGGAGGAAUACCUGUGGCGAAAGCGGCCUCCUAAACGAAUACUGACACUGAGGGUGCGAAAGCGUGGGGAGCAAACAGGGAUUAGAUACC